rnacentral:misc_RNA from 1 species
CGUGCCUCAGAAGAACACGCGGUGCACAGGUACAGAGAGAACCUGUUCGUGUAAGAGGGGCCCUCACAGAGUAAUCUCCUACCGGCUGUGGCUACUUCGUGUUCUAGGAGACUUUCACCCACCCACACGCUCACAAAAGGAAGGACUUCACGAACAUCGUUGGCGCUGCGGCCUCCACCGCCUAGUGUAGCCUAUAUCGCCUUCUCUUCACAUGCUCUCCUCUUUUCGCAUACAGGCAUACAUCUCUAGGUACGCAUAUUAUACGUCAUCGUGGCUGGCCUCUAGCACGUGCCCCACUUUAUGUGCGAUACAUAUGUAUGUAUACGUGUGUAUUUAGAUGUGUGUGCAUUGGGGAUUUUCGGUGUGCCUGUCUUCAUCUCCUCUUGCUGAAGCUGCAUUUUAUUUGUCCCACACCCUUUCCGCCGGUGCUUCCUUCUCUCUUUGCCCCUCUCCUCAUCUUGUCGCCAUCAAGACGAGAACAGGCAGGUAAAAGUAGGGUGUCGCAUCUCCUUGUUGUGUCGUUUCUCUUCCUGUUGCCGGUGGUGUGUGCAUCGAGCUCGCUCUCGACGCUGUGACACCCCGCGGGGCGUCAUGUUGUCAUGUAUUUUCUUGCUGAAUGAGCAUGGCGAGGUGAUGGUGGAGCUGCAAUUUAGUGAGCGAAUCCCGCGCUCAACGUUGGAGGGAUUCUGGUCCACCUAUAUGGCGCCGUCGAAGGGAGGCCGCGAGGCGCCCGCGGCCAUCGUCGCCUACGGCGGCACUGUGUUCUCGCACAUCCACCGCAACAACGUGUUUCUCGUCGGCACACACCCUUCGGACGACACGGCGCUCGUGGUGAUUGAGCAGCUCUGUCUCGUGGCCCGCGUUCUCACAACAUACCUGAGCGAGGUGACGGAGAACACCAUUCGAGAAAACUUCUCUACCGUCUAUCAGCUACUACAGGAGAUGUUUGACUACGGUUACCCCCUCACCACUGAGUUCUGCGCACUGGAGGAGCUGGUGCCGCGGCCGACGCUCGAGAACCGCGUGCGCACUAUGCUGGACACGCCGCUUGUGAACAAGGUGAUGCCGGUCGGCAGCCGCACUUCCAUUGGGGUUGGCAGUCGGCAGGCAUCCAGCUUUUUCGGUGGUGUCCCAUGGCGGGACCCGGAGACGCGUCACAGCACAAAUGAAAUACUCUUUGACGUGGUGGAGUCGCUGGACUACGUCCUGGACAGCGAGGGCCGCUGCGUCAGGGCUGCUGUGCAGGGGAGCAUCGAGGUGAAUUGCCGGCUGAGCGGCAUGCCUGACGUGGUGCUGCGUCUGCGCGAUGUCGACGCCGUGGUCGACGACGUGGCUUUUCAUCGAUGCGUCCGUCUGGACCGUUAUGAGCACGAUCGCACGCUCUGCUUCAUUCCACCCGACGGCAAGUUCACGCUGAUGAAGUAUACCUGCAAGUCUUCCCAGCUGAUGCCGCUUCCACCGUUCUACGUGACCCCGCAGGUCACUUUCAACGCUACGGGUGGUCGCUUCCAUUGCAUGACGGGCAUCCGCGGUGGCGGAGCGGGCUUCUCUUCCGUGGCGGAGAAGGAUAAGGAUGUGCAGCGGCUCUCGGUGCGCCUCCUGCUGCCGCCAAACACGUCAUCGCUCACAGUGACGAACUGUUCGAGCGGCACGACCGUUUUCGACCGCUCCAAGGCGACGCUCACGUGGAGCGUGGGCAACUUGACGCAUUACGCAACGCCGUCUCUCGGUGGCGAGUUCUUGUUAGAGCCGGAAGGUAGUGACAGCAGUGGCGAGCAAGGGCGUGACAAUGCGGCGCCAUCGAGGUCGGCGAGGGCAACAACCCAUGCGGCCGGAGUCGGAAACGCCACCAUGGCUGCCGUGUCGUUCCAGCUGCCGAACCGAAUCAUGAGUAGCCUUCGCGUGGAUUCGGUUCAGGUCUUGAAUGAGAUCGGCAAGCCGUACAAGGGGCUGAAGUACCUAACGCAGUCUGGCAGCUACUUCAUCCGAGGCGCCUGAUGCACAUGCAAGCUCCAAUACAUCGCUCCGAGCGUGUGCAGGGCAUGCGUGUGCGUCCGCGCAUCAUCCUCUGCUUGGCGUCGCCUCCUCCUCUACUAAGUUGCAUCAGCUCACUUGCUUCGCUUGCGUGCCCCAGAUAAGCCCCCCGCUUCUCACGCUCUCCCCUCACACACAAUACACACGUUUGUACCGGCUCAUGCACAACUAAGCCACAAACAACGCAACAGCAAACGAGGACAGCCGUAUGAAGAGUGUGGCUGCUGCGACUCAGCUGCAUCCUUCACCUUUCCCCUUUUCAUUUUUGCUCUUUCUCGCAUGCUGUCGGUUGCCGAGUGCCACGAGGAGGCGUUGCUGGACCUCCAAUGAUCUCAUAC